rnacentral:lncRNA from 1 species
GUCUUACGUUUCUGAAAGUUAAAACUGGCUCCUUUCUGCUGCUAGUUUAUUUAACAUGUUAGCUCAUUGUACAGUAAUCUCUAGCAGGCACGCAAUGGCUUACUUUUUAUGGCAUAAAUUGGGAGAAGGGACAAAGAUUUGUAUACAGUCAUUUUAUUGUUGGUUUUUUUUGUUUUCCCCAUGUCUUCCAGCUGUAGCACUGCUUCCUGUGUGGGAGAAUGAGAACGGGGGACCUUUCUGUUCUGUGUCCAGAGUACGACAUAAACCAGUGCUAGAAUUUCUUGUGCUGCCAACCAUUGGAAGGAGUCGGAAUUUUUCAACCCCUUGUUUCAAGUGACCUCAGCCUGUUCUCUGCAGCUCAGCUCCUUCUGCUCCCCCAUUUUGGUGAACAAAAGACCCUAUUUGGAGGAUGAGGCAGCUGAGAGGAAAGCCCAAAAAGGAGACCUCCAAAGAUAAAAAGGAGAGGAAACAGGCAAUGCAAGAGGCCCGCCAGCAGAUCACCACGGUCGUGCUUCCCACGCUGGCCGUCGUAGUGCUGCUGAUUGUUGUGUUUGUUUAUGUAGCGACUCGUCCAAAUACAACUGAAUGAUGCAGCUUUUCAGACCUUCUAACUUUGGGGUAUUAAUACUUUUAUCAAGAGCCAAAAGAAACUCUCUGCCACUCUCAAUACUUCACAAAGGAACUUGCUGGUACCUUCAGUCUUUCUCUUGGUUAGGAUUCCACAGUUUCUCUUUAGGAAUGUAACAUAAAACGUAUUAGUGAAUGUGCCAGUACGUUUUAUGGUCCAGUUCAUGUGCCUUUCAGACUUUUACAAUGGUGUUUUUCUUAAAUCUGUUUGAAGUUCUAUAUUGUAAAAGGAAAUUCUGUUCCGCUAUAAAUUUGUAAAAAAUCAGCUUUCAGCUUUUAUCACUGUUAUGGAUAAUGUUGCUCCCAUGAGCUCUUGUAUGUCUAUUUCAGAACUUCCAAAGAAGUACAUUUCUUCUUUGUACUUAAUGUCAUAUGAAACACUUUGAUUCACAAAGGAUAUAUUUAUUUUUUGAAUAAAAGAGAGAAGUCUUACUUGGAAUCUUAUUUU